UGAAAAUAAUUUUGGAAAUAAUGGAUAAUAUUUUGGCAUAAUCGGUUCUAAAAGUUACUUGUCUUUUUCAGGAUAAUAAAGCCGAUGUAAUUUUAAAAUACAAUGCAGAUGAAGCUAGAAGUCUGAAGGCAUAUGGCGAGCUUCCAGAGCAUGCUAAAAUCAAUGAAACCGAUACAUUUGGUCCUGGAGAUGAUGAUGAAAUUCAGUUUGAUGACAUUGGGGAUGAUGAUGAAGACAUCGAUGAUAUCUAAAUUGAAUUCAACAUUUUACAUUCCAAUUUCUCUGAGGAUUGUUCCAACAAUUUGGAUUUUGGCUGUGACCCGUUAAAGAAGAUUAAAAUUUCAUUAGCAUGAGUGCAAUUUGUUAAAGCAGACUGAUUUGUUUCUAAGGUAUUUCUUUAAAAACUGGUAAUGCUGAAUUCUCUUAAGUGAAAAGUUAAGCCUUCUUUGUUCUUUUGAUGUAUUGGAGUUUAUGGGUAAAAGACCACAUCUACUAUUUUUAAAAAGGGGGGGGGGAUGCAUUACUGCCUUUCCUACUUUGACCACUUCCCGUAAGUAAAUGAAUGUUCUGAAUAAACCAUUUGCCCUACACUCAGUAUGGAUUACGAUUAAGCCCUAACUUUGACUAGCCUGUUGACUGUACAGUGAUUAUCUGUAUAUUCCAGUUACUUUGAUGUUCCCUUGAGAUUUUGAUACAGAACUCUGCAUUUCAAGUAAAAAAUGAUUAGGUCUGUUUUUCAUAGCAUGUGGCUAUUUUUGUACUAAUUUUGAUAUGUACAUUCUUUUCAUGAUCUUAUUUUGCCACUAUAAAUGUAUCAACAAAAAAGCAUUUCCAAAAUGCAGGUUUUAAUAGGAAUUUUUAAUUUGUGAGGUUAGUAGUUACAGGAAUUGAACAGUAGGUGGCACCCAGUCAUCUUAAUGUUGAAACGUUGCUAUAGUUGUCAAUUUUUUUUCUUACUGUGCAUAGGAAAUUUCCCAAACAAGAAAAGAUUAUUUUGAUCAUAUGCAUGUAUGUAGAAUAUUUUUAAAGAACAAAAAUAUUGUUAAAAGUGUCAUUUUAUUUCAGAAGUCAUAUACAUAUAAGCUACAAUUUUGAGUGCUUUAUAAACACUUGAAUUGUGUAUAAAUGAAAAUUUAAUUUCCUAACAACUGUACAAAUUAAGCCUUUUUCAAACUAUCCCUAAGCUGGGAAAAGAGGAGGGAAUAACAAUUUACUGAAAAGAUGGUUUCUCAUUUCUAAAUGGAAGAGCUACAGCUGAGAAAUAUAAUAAAGACAAUGUCAUGCUGCAGAGUAUAUUAUACCCUUACUUUGUGUUUAGGAUGUAUUUUAUUGUGUGUAAAGAUUUGUUUUGCUUGUAUUUUAUUGGGAAUUUGGAUUUUCCCUUACUUAGUUUUUGUUCUGAACUCUACUAAGAUGAAAUUAAGGGCUGGGCUAUUUAGACCUCACUAGCCAUAUUAAAUCUUAUGCAACUUUUAAAGAAGAGAUCCAUGAUUAAGGUUGUGAAGAUUUUAUUCUACCAGUCUCCAGAGAUGUUUUUAGUGAUGAAAGGUACUACAAAGGGAAAUAAACCUUCAUGUGGCUUCAAGAAAUAAGCAAAUCUUCUCUAAUCUCAUGCUUAUUCCUAAGUGUGCAAACUCUGGAAUCAGAAUCUGAGGUACUAUAAAAUAUUAUUAAAUCAAAGAAUAGAAAUGAUAGACAGUUGGAAUUCAUGUUUCUUAUUCUCUGGAGUUCUGAACGCUUACUUAGAUGGAAUACAUCCGAAACCAUGGGCUGGUUUUCAAGACUUGUCAGAAACUAGCCUUGAAGAAUCGACUUAGUGAUUAUCUUCAUCAAAAUCUAAACUUUCUGAGAUAUUUAGGCUCCUGUACAAAGAGUGUUUUGCUAAAUUUGUGGUGUACAUGUAGAUCCUUUUUCCGUGUUGUUUUACCAGGAAUGUUGUAACUCUGUGUCUGUGGUAUAGUUCAUGGUAGGGAUCGUACAGCUCACACAUUAGUUUUUCUACUUACCUCCUCUAACACAUAUGGUUCGUCUAAAGAUUUUUAAAAUUACAACUAUGGCCCCCAUUCAUGUGUGUGUGUUAGUGAUAUUUUUUUUUCCUUGCUUAGGUAGUAACUGCUCAAUCUAGUGGCAUUGCAUCCUGGAAAAUCUCAAAUCAUAAUGACUAUAAAAUGGUAAAGUUCUAGGUCAUACGCAACACUACUUGGAGGGAUUGUUUUACUAACUUUAAUGUGAAAUUUUUAUAGUUUUAUUGACUAUAUUUCAAAUGAGAAAUGGAAGUGGUCCUUAGUUGGUGUGUUUGUUUUGUUUUGUUUUUUUGUUUGUUUUUUGGUGGUGUUUUGUUGGUUUUUGGGUUUUUUUUGGGGGGGGGUGUCGUUACACUCUUUGAUUCCAAUAACACAAUGCAAUAAGGUAUGCCCUGAAAGAAAAUAAAAUGUUUGAAAUCCAAGAAUAAUGGUUCUUCCUGCUAAGCGGGUGUAAUAAUUAUUACUAAUGAAUUCGAUGGGCUUGCAUUUUUCAUGCAGCAUUGAUUCUACUUCCAGUUAGAGUAUAAAUUGUAUUACUAAGGUGGCUCAACAACCAAACCAAGCAUUUGUGUGAAAAACUUGCCAAGAUUUAAUUGCUAGACUGUUGAAUCUUUUUUGAACAUCCAACUUCUUAAGAGACUGCCUCUUAAGGAUCCUAUAAACUAUGCAUGAUGAAAAUUCUUGUAUUUUAUUAAGGAAUGGCCAUUGGUUUACUCACUACAUCUACAGAAUCGUGGCUGUGAAUAUAGUUGGUUACAAAACUACUUGUGGCCUGUAGUUUAACUUAAUUUCAUCUAUCUUGUGUAAAUAGUAAAUUAUAGGAUGGUGAAUAACAUCUUUAGUAGAUAUAAACUGCUGUCAGUACUGACUUCAGAACAACAGAGUAAUCAAGUAGGUAAAAGCAUGUUUGAAAUAAAAAUACCUAGCUGGAUUUAUACUUUAUUUGUAUUGUUUACAGAUUUUAAAAUAUCCAGUAUUAACUGUAGCUUGACAGUUAAAGUAUCAGAAUGAAAGUGAGGUUCUUUACGUUACCUGUUGUAACAAGAAGAUUCAUAUUGGUAGGAGAUGUUUAGAUCUUUAUCCUGCUUAGCAAGAGGAAGUUUCAUUUAUACUCUUUGGACUCCCAUGAACUUUUACACACCACUUUUGUGUUUUUAAUUUAUUAUCAUUCUUUUUAUCCUUGCUUAUUUCUUCCUACUCAGAAAAGAACAAAAUCUUAAUUAUUAAGUCUCACUACAGCUGCGUUGAGACCCUGACUUCUCAGGUACAGAGUGAACCAAGGAAUUUGGAGAGUAUUGGAGUGGGUCCUCUCUUUCCUCCAGCUGCCGGGAACUUAGGAGGCAGUGUGACAGAGAGUGAAGAGCAUGGGCCCUGGGGCCAGGAGGCCUGUGCCCCAGCCCCCACUCUGCCCUUAACCUAUAGGUGACCAUGGGCACCUUCUUUUACUUGUGUGAGUUUCAGGCUCCUUACCUGUAAGAAUGGGGGUGAUGAGAAUAGUACCUGCAGAAUUGGUGGGAGGAUUAAUUAAUUAAUGUGUCCAUAUGUGUAUUGCACCUAGAGCAGUGUCUUCCACUUUUCACUCAGUAUCCAGGACUGUAUGCACGUCUUUUAUAUUCUCUACCAUUUCUUUCACUUGGAGUCUUUGGUUCCUAUAAUAAAAGAACUUGUAGAAUAUAUAUAUUCAUGUUGACACAGUAUUUAAAAUAAUUGUUACCACCCUCAUUUAAUUCAGCAUAAGACUAACAAGUCUCUAAAUUGCUCAAAGAUGGAUGUUUUGCAAAAUACCAACUACUCUAUAUUUCUUUAGAGAAAGUUCAUGGUUAUUGAUAGCUCUGGUCAUAUUUCAUUCUUAAGUCUAAUGGGUCCUUUUACUAUAUAGAUUCAUGACAGCUAAUUAGUAUUGACUGAUUUGGAGAUUUGGACUUCUGUAUAAAAGUCCCAUCAUUUGGACUUAUGUAAAAAAAAAUAAUGGAUGCAAACUAUUAAAAUUAGAAAAUAAAAUAUGAAAUAACUUUUAA